AUUGAACGCUGGCGGCAGGCCUAACACAUGCACGUCGAACGCGUGGCGGACGGGUGAGUAAUGUCUGGGAAACUGCCUGAUGGAGGGGGAUAACUACUGGAAACGGUAGCUAAUACCGCAUACCAUCAGAUGUGCCCAGAUGGGAUGAGCUUGUUGGUGGGGUAACGUCUCACCAAGGCGACGAUCCCUAGCUGGUCUGAGAGGAUGACCAGCCACACGGGAACGGAGAAACGGGCCAGACUCCUACGUGGGGCAGCAGGGGGGAAGAUUGCACAAUGGGCGCAAGCCUGAUGCAGCCAUGCCGGGUGUAUGAAGAAGGCCUUCGGGUUGUAAAGUACUUUCAGCGGGGAGGCGUUACCCGCAGAAGAAGCAGCGGCUAACUCCGUGCCAGCAGCCGCGGUAAUUC
rnacentral:rRNA from 1 species